GACGAACGCUGGCGGCGUGCUUAACACAUGCAAGUCGAACGGAAAGGCCCUGCUUUUGUGGGGUGCUCGAGUGGCGAACGGGUGAGUAACACGUGAGUAACCUGCCCUUGACUUUGGGAUAACUUCAGGAAACUGGGGCUAAUACCGGAUAGGAGCUCCUGCUGCAUGGUGGGGGUUGGAAAGUUUCGGCGGUUGGGGCUGGACUCGCGGCUUAUCAGCUUGUUGGUGGGGUAGUGGCUUACCAAGGCUUUGACGGGUAGCCGGCCUGAGAGGGUGACCGGCCACAUUGGGACUGAGAUACGGCCCAGACGCCUACGGGAGGCAGCAGUGGGGAAUAUUGCAGAAUGGGCGGAAGCCUGAUGCAGCAACGCCGCGUGCGGGAUGACGGCCUUCGGGUUGUAAACCGCUUUCGCCUGUGACGAAGCGUGAGUGACGGUAAUGGGUAAAGAAGCACCGGCUAACUACGUG
rnacentral:rRNA from 1 species